rnacentral:sRNA from 1 species
CUUCCCAAAUCUCGUCGACGAGGAAUCAUGGAAAGACGCCUCCGAAUCCAUCCUCACCUACAAGCCCCUGCUCUCCGUUGUCUGCUCCGAGCAGCUCAAAUUCUUCCUGUGCUCCGUCUACUUCCCGAUGUGCAACGAGAAAGUGAGUUCAAUCAGAGAAGAAUCGCACAUUUUUAUCAUUUCAUCGUUCAAAAAAAUUUCAGCUAGCCAACCCAAUUGGUCCAUGCCGUCCAUUGUGUCUUUCCGUCCAGGAAAAGUGUCUUCCAGUGCUGGAAAGUUUCGGUUUCAAGUGGCCCGAUGUGAUUCGUUGUGAUAAGUUCCCGUUGGAGAACAAUCGAGAGAAAAUGUGCAUGAAAGGGCCAAAUGAGCAAGGAGCAAUUCAAGAUGAGAGGGCAAAGUUUGCAGCGAAAGAAAGUG